CAGGCUUACCUUUGACCUUUGACUGCCCGCCUCCUGCCUUGGCUUGUGAAUCCUGUCUCCUUUAAGUGUUUCUGAUCCAGUGAAUUAGAAUUGGACCCAAACCAUGUUCCCGGUGAAGGUAAAAGUGGAGAAAUCAGAGAUGGAGAUGGCCAAAGCCCGGAACCAGCUGGAUGCCGUUCUUCAGUGUCUGCUGGAGAAGAGUCACAUGGACAGGGAACGUCUGGACGAAGACGCUGGGAAGACACCCUCGGAUACACACAACAAGGAUUGCUCCAUCGCUGCUACUGGCAAAAGGCCAUCCGCCCGCUUCCCCCACCAGCGGAGGAAGAAGAGGAGGGAGAUGGACGAUGGGCUGGCUGAGGGGGGUCCUCAGAGAUCCAACACAUAUGUGAUCAAGCUGUUUGACCGGAGUGUGGAUUUGGCCCAGUUCAGUGAGAACACACCAUUGUACCCCAUCUGCCGUGCCUGGAUGCGCAACAGUCCCUCAGUGCGAGAGCGGGAGCGGUCACCCAGCUCACCACUGCCCCCUCUGCCUGAGGAUGAGGAGGGUUCAGAGGUCAUCAACAGCAAAAGCCGUGAUGUGUACAAGCUGCCUCCACCCACAGCCCCUGGAUCACUUGGCGAUACCUGCAGAUCCCGAAUUCCAUCCCCCCUGCAGCCUGAGACCCAGGGUACCCCAGAUGAUGAAGUAACCCUCCGAGCCUGAACCUUCUCUUUCCACGCUCAUCUAUCGCAACAUGCAACGCUGGAAACGUAUACGCCAGAGGUGGAAGGAGGCAUCUCAUCGGAAUCAGCUUCGUUACUCAGAAAGCAUGAAGAUCCUGCGGGAGAUGUAUGAUCGGCAGUGAUGUUCCCAGUCUCCCACCCCCAACCCAAUAAACCUGCCCCCAACCAAAACUGGCCCAGACAUAAAGCAGUCGAUGAAUCUCUA